rnacentral:rRNA from 1 species
AAGAGCUUGCUCUUUGGGUGGCGAGUGGCGGACGGGUGAGUAAUGUCUGGGAAACUGCCCGAUGGAGGGGGAUAACUACUGGAAACGGUAGCUAAUACCGCAUAACGUCGCAAGACCAAAGUGGGGGACCUUCGGGCCUCACACCAUCGGAUGUGCCCAGAUGGGAUUAGCUAGUAGGUGGGGUAAUGGCUCACCUAGGCGACGAUCCCUAGCUGGUCUGAGAGGAUGACCAGCCACACUGGAACUGAGACACGGUCCAGACUCCUACGGGAGGCAGCAGUGGGGAAUAUUGCACAAUGGGCGCAAGCCUGAUGCAGCCAUGCCGCGUGUAUGAAGAAGGCCUUCGGGUUGUAAAGUACUUUCAGCGGGGAGGAAGGCGGUGAGGUUAAUAACCUCGCCGAUUGACGUUACCCGCAGAAGAAGCACCGGCUAACUCCGUGCCAGCAGCCGCGGUAAUACGGAGGGUGCAAGCGUUAAUCGGAAUUACUGGGCGUAAAGCGCACGCAGGCGGUCUGUUAAGUCAGAUGUGAAAUCCCCGGGCUUAACCUGGGAACUGCAUUUGAAACUGGCAGGCUUGAGUCUCGUAGAGGGGGGUAGAAUUCCAGGUGUAGCGGUGAAAUGCGUAGAGAUCUGGAGGAAUACCGGUGGCGAAGGCGGCCCCCUGGACGAAGACUGACGCUCAGGUGCGAAAGCGUGGGGAGCAAACAGGAUUAAACUUUUUUUUUUAUAAACAAAAC